rnacentral:lncRNA from 1 species
UUCUGGGUUAGGUGCUGACGUCCGUCGGCUUUUCGGACGUGAGAGGAGCUGCGAGUUCAGCUGGUGGGCGACCCCACUGGUUUUCGCUGAAGUGGGCGGCGUCCGGAGUUACUUCAUAACUGGAUUAAGCGGAGAUAAAACGACUGGAUGGACCGCAUGUCAAGUGGCGAGAAAACUGCUAGAAGGUCGUCAGCAUUCGGUCUGUCGGAAGCGUCGCCGUGACGUUCGGUGUGUUUCUUGAAUUGCCGGAGGAAAAGCAGAGUAGUCUGAGUAGUUGUUCAUCUGAUGCGCUGACAGACGAGCGGACGAUUGUAGUGAAUGGAAGGGCUGACAUUCUUAGUGCCACUCUUGCUUCACAACACAGCACCAGCUCAGAUCUCGUCACUCUUACCACCCCCAGGUCCCAGUGCUGAACUGGGAGGCAUGAAUACACUGCACCACAAUUCUCCUGCAGCUGACCCACAGAACAUACCCCACCACGGUGAGCUACUACAAGAAAUGCUUGCCAAUAAGCGUUUCUCCACUAAGUAGUAAGUCAUGUUUUGCUUGAGAAUAAAAUACUUGUUAAGUGUGCCUAUGCCAAGAGGCACACUUAUUACUAUUCGUCGGAUUUAUUAUUCUUAUUAUUAUUCUCCAUCUUCCAUUUUUUAAAUAUUAAUAUUUUAGUGAAAAUUUUCCCGCGCUUAUCAGUCACACAGUUUUGACACAAGGGUUACAUAUGUUAGAUCAUUUUGUGCGGCUGGAUCUGGAGUAGUAUGAUAUGACUUUUGGUGUUCAUGACUUUUAUAGUUUUUCAAAUAUUUAGAUUUUAGUGCAAAUUUAGGCCAAUUUCCAUAGAAACAGACUUCAUUUGUGGUGUGUUGGCUCUCUCUAGUGGUAAACCGGUGUUCUGGGAAUUUCUCCUACCCCGUAAACCGUCCUACCCGUUGUUCCUGAGCAUGUGCGCGCAUGCGCACAAUACAAAAAGGGAAGCAAAGCGCAUCCGGCUGUGAUUUAAUGCUACUCCGUUGUCAUAUUUGCAGGAAAAUAGGUAAGUAGUAAGUAUUAGUACUUUUUAUUGACGUUGAUACUUGAUUUUUUAAGCCUUCGUGAUUGUUUGUCAAUAUUAAAGUAAAGUCGCUAUCUGCUUUCUGCACAAAACUGUCGAAUUUGCAGCUUCGGUGAAGUCUGCUGUCAAGUUACUGGACACGUGGUAUUUGCACAACACUUCUGAAUCCGCAGCUUCGGUGUUUUAAGGCUGUUUCGGUAAUGUCGUUAUUUAAUAAGUUAAAUUAUUUGCACUGUUAACUGCACAUAUUGAAACUCAGAAGAAA